rnacentral:rRNA from 1 species
AUUGAACGCUGGCGGCAGGCCUAACACAUGCAAGUCGAACGAGUGGCGGACGGGUGAGUAAUGUCUGGGAAACUGCCUGAUGGAGGGGGAUAACUACUGGAAACGGUAGCUAAUACCGCAUACCAUCGGAUGUGCCCAGAUGGGAUUAGCUAGUAGGGGGGGUAACGGCUCACCUAGGCGACGAUACCUAGCUGGUCUGAGAGGAUGACCAGCCAAACUGGAACUGAGACACGGUCCAGACUCCUACGGGAGGAAGCAGUGGGGAAUAUUGCACAAUGGGCGCAAGCCUGAUGCAGCAAUGCCGCGUGUAUGCAGAAGGCCUUCGGGUUGUAAAGUACUUUCAGCGGGGAGGCGUUACCCGCAGAAGAAGCACCGGCUAACUCCGUGCCAGUCGCCGCGGUAAUUC